UUAUAAAAGGUCCAGACUAAAAACCAGCAUUCAGCCACUGGUACCACACAUGGACGACUCUUCUGCCAACAUUAACCGUGAGGUCCGUGACGCCUCCCUCACGCGGCAGGUAGCCCCGCCCAACUACUGCACCUGCAAAGGUCGUCACCAUCACCCCCAAGCGGCCGCCAGCGCCACCACCGCAAGUGACGCCGUGAAGCUGCAGUAUAACUACUGCCAGGAUCUCUCCGGACGGUACGCUGUUCAUGCAACAAAGACCACGCCAGCGGCUCGUGAUCUCCAAUGGAAUCGCUACGUUCAACCGUCAGCGCAUGGACUAAGCGCGCUCGGGCGGAGGAGGAUGCCGAGACGGCGGCGGUGUCGUCGGCGUACUUGGCGCAGCUGAACAAGACGUUUCAGGCGAUGGGCUUAUCGCCGAACUUGAAAGCAAACCUUCCCAAUAAGCCUGAUGUAAUUGUCUUCUGCUUGAAUCAAUCCGCGCGGGUCUAUGAUGCCCGGAAGGCGCUGUGGACGUUCACCUAUCCGCAAAAUGCCUAUAAUCGUUGCGGUGUGUGCGGGCAGGUAGGCAGGUGGAUGUGUGUUCAGUUCAGAACUGUCUGAAAACUGACAUUAGGCGGUCCUUGCGACUAUCUCGGCUACGGACCUACGGUGUGGCCGAAACCUAGUUGACCUUUUCCCUACCGAAAUCCAAGUCAACGCCCGACGCCUUCGUCGCAACCAUAACGCACCAAUUACUUUUGCAGACGCUGUAUUUGACCGCAGUUGGUGUUUCGAAGAACGGCGUCAUCCUCAGCUCCGAUGAUGAAUUCACCAAAGCGCCGCGGCAGAAUUAGAAGUGCGGACCAACGCCACCGGCAUCCCAAUUACAAAAUCCUUCAUCUUAAUUGCCAGGAAUCCACCCUCCUUUUUCCACUGCUUGGCGGGCAGCUGACUGUCGUUAUUGCCAUCCUUCCGCAGACCAUCUACCAAGCCGGAAGAGCCCGUUUACCGGCUAACGGUCCAGUUGACGGUGACCGGUGACCUUUACCUGGUGGCCAAUCCUAACAAGAUCUACUACGGCACUGCAACCGCGUAUGACAUCAUCCAGUUAAAAAAACCGGUUCUGAUCGACAGCAUGGGUGGACUGGGUGGACCUGUUCCAACUCCCGGCGCUUGUAACAUUCAGCAAGCCAUGACCAACAUGGGCGACAGGAAUCUAUGUCCGCUUACCAUCUUCGCCUCAGCGGACGGAACCAUGGUAUCCGCAGGACAAUUAGGACGGGUACCGCACAAACCGCGCAGCAGCUAUGGUUCGGCCGGACCGAUCCGUACGCCGACAUUCAAGUUGUGCACAUCGCCGUCUGCAACUGGUGCACCAGCGGCUACGAUUCUACCGUGGCGAUCACCGCGAACCGGGAUUUCCGGAACGACUUGGUAUACAUUACGAAAAAGUUCCUCGUGACCAACGUCCUGUUCCUUUCCACGUGGUUGGAACUUGUAAGCCUCGGUUAACGGGUUCGUGACGAAGAAUCCGAGCGCCAUCACAAUUCCCCGUAGAAGGUCGGUGAGCGAGACGGUCAGGGAUGGGGUGUUCUCGCGGUGCAGCCAUGAGGAGAUGAGGAACUGCGCGAAGGAACCACUGUCCACUGUCAAGGAGAUCCUGGCGCCGGAGGAUAAGGCAAAAUUGCUUCCUUAAAAAAUUUCAGAAAUAAUAAAAUUGCAGAAAUAAUUUAUUUAUAGUUAUGAUUUUGUGAUUUGUAACUCAAAGGUAAAACGACAUUAGUAAAUAUGAUUUUAUUUCUGGUGCAGGUUUUAUAAUAAAUGCACAUUUUUUGCGGUACUUGAAGUGCUGAAGCAGGGCAUUUCUCGUUGUACUGGCAAACAUCUUCGUUUUGUUGUUCAUUACACGGUUAUUUGUACGUCCACAUGGCCAUCACUAUUUUCUGCUGCACUGUGUUUUCGA